ACGGGUGAGUAACACGUGAGCAAUCUGCCCCUGACUCUGGGAUAAGCGCUGGAAACGGCGUCUAAUACUGGAUACGAGCUUCCACCGCAUGGUGAGCAGUUGGAAAGAACUUCGGUCAGGGAUGAGCUCGCGGCCUAUCAGCUUGUUGGUGAGGUAAUGGCUCACCAAGGCGUCGACGGGUAGCCGGCCUGAGAGGGUGACCGGCCACACUGGGACUGAGACACGGCCCAGACUCCUACGGGAGGCAGCAGUGGGGAAUAUUGCACAAUGGGCGCAAGCCUGAUGCAGCAACGCCGCGUGAGGGACGACGGCCUUCGGGUUGUAAACCUCUUUUAGCAGGGAAGAAGCGAAAGUGACGGUACCUGCAGAAAAAGCGCCGGCUAACUACGUGCCAGCAGCCGCGGUAAUACGUAGGGCGCAAGCGUUAUCCGGAAUUAUUGGGCGUAAAGAGCUCGUAGGCGGUUUGUCGCGUCUGCUGUGAAAUCCCGAGGCUCAACCUCGGGUCUGCAGUGGGUACGGGCAGACUAGAGUGCGGUAGGGGAGAUUGGAAUUCCUGGUGUAGCGGUGGAAUGCGCAGAUAUCAGGAGGAACACCGAUGGCGAAGGCAGAUCUCUGGGCCGUAACUGACGC
rnacentral:rRNA from 1 species